AUUGAACGCUGGCGGCAGGCUUAACACAUGCAAGUCGAGCGGGGUGAGGUGCUUCGGUACUGACCCUAGUGGCGGACGGGUGAGUAAUGCUUAGGAAUCUGCCAUUUAGUGGGGGACAACAUUCCGAAAGGAAUGCUAAUACCGCAUACGUCCUACGGGAGAAAGCAGGGGAUCUUCGGACCUUGCGCUAAAUGAUGAGCCUAAGUCGGAUUAGCUAGUUGGUGGGGUAAAGGCCUACCAAGGCGACGAUCUGUAGCGGGUCUGAGAGGAUGAUCCGCCACACUGGGACUGAGACACGGCCCAGACUCCUACGGGAGGCAGCAGUGGGGAAUAUUGGACAAUGGGCGGAAGCCUGAUCCAGCCAUGCCGCGUGUGUGAAGAAGGCCUUUUGGUUGUAAAGCACUUUAAGCGAGGAGGAGGCUACCUGGAUUAAUACUCUGGGAUAGUGGACGUUACUCGCUGAAUAAGCACCGGCUAACUCUGUGCCAGCCGCCGCAGUAA
rnacentral:rRNA from 1 species